rnacentral:misc_RNA from 1 species
ACGACAUCUUCUCCGAGCUCAUCGCCAAGGAGUACAUUCGCCAGCACGACGGCAAGAAGCGCAAGGUCACCGCGAUUCAGCUCGGCUAUGAAGCGCGCUGCGCCAAGCCUCACGCGUUCGACGUGAUGCUCGGCAGCCAGCUCGGCGUCGGCGCCUACCGCGCGCUCGUCGAAAAGCGCCUCAAUGGCGUGAUGGUCUCCGUCUCCGGCCAGUUGCAGCUCCAAUACGUGCCGUUCGACCAACUGGUCGAUCCCGACACGCUGGUAACGCUCGUCCGCUUCAUCGAGCUGGGCAGCGAUUUCCACCGCCUCACGCGGUUUCUUGAAACCAACGUCACCACCGGCGGCGGGCCCGGCAGCCCGCUGUAGCUCGGUUGGCGUCGCUCCAAACAAUCGCAGUCCCCGUAGCCCCCGCCCCCCGCCCCUGCUACAUUCACGCUUCCCGCCUGGUUCUCCCCCGCCUACCGAGAACGUCGCUCCCAUGU